rnacentral:rRNA from 1 species
GACGAACGCUGGCGGCGUGCUUAACACAUGCAAGUCUACGAGAAUAAGGUAGCAAUAUCUUUAGUAAAGUGGCGCACGGGUGAGUAACACGUAAGUAACCUACCUUUAGAUUUGGAAUAACCCCGAGAAAUCGGGGCUAAUACCGAACGAUGCAGCGGCACCACAUGGUGAUGUUGUUAAAGUCUAUAUGACGUCUAAAGAUGGGCUUGCGUCUGAUUAGCUAGUUGGUGAGGUAACGGCCCACCAAGGCAACGAUCAGUAGCUGGUCUGAGAGGAUGAUCAGCCACACUGGAACUGAGACACGGUCCAGACUCCUACGGGAGGCAGCAGUGAGGAAUAUUGGGCAAUGCCCGAAAGGGUGACCCAGCAACGCCGCGUGGAGGAUGAAUGCCGUAAGGUUGUAAACUCCUGUUAGAGGGGAAGAAAAAUCUCGAUCAAAUCGAGAACUGACUGUACCCUCAGAGAAAGCCCCGGCUAACUACGUGCCAGCCGCCGCAGUAAUAC